rnacentral:rRNA from 1 species
UGGGGAAUAUUGCACAAUGGGCGCAAGCCUGAUGCAGCCAUGCCGCGUGUAUGAAGAAGGCCUUCGGGUUGUAAAGUACUUUCAGCGAGGAGGAAGGCGUUGUGGUUAAUAACCGCAACGAUUGACGUUACUCGCAGAAGAAGCACCGGCUAACUCCGUGCCAGCAGCCGCGGUAAUACGGAGGGUGCAAGCGUUAAUCGGAAUUACUGGGCGUAAAGCGCGCGUAGGUGGUUUGUUAAGUUGGAUGUGAAAGCCCCGGGCUCAACCUGGGAACUGCAUCCGAAACUGGCAGGCUAGAGUCUUGUAGAGGGGGGUAGAAUUCCAGGUGUAGCGGUGAAAUGCGUAGAGAUCUGGAGGAAUACCGGUGGCGAAGGCGGCCCCCUGGACAAAGACUGACGCUCAGGUGCGAAAGCGUGGGGAGCAAACA